ACUAAGUCCUUAUCUUUUCUUCAACCCAUCGGUCUUAAGCUAAGAGUAGGUGAAGUAAUCAUUCCUUUUAUAUCCUUAUCCAAGAUGUCCCUUUUUUCUAACUUCCAGUGGAAGUUUUGACUAAGUGUAAAGUCCUUAUCUCCUUGGAAUCCGUCGAUCACCAUAAGCCAAUGAAAACUUUUUCUUCUCUUCUCCUCCAAAGCCGACGCCUUCUUCUUGUUCUUCCUCUCUUCUUCUUCUUUCAUCUUCCAACUCAAGGAAAACCAAAGUUUCUCUCCAUUAUUCAAGCCAUGCGACCUCCAAGGGAAAGAAAGAUUUUUUUUUUUUUUCCCUCCCCCAGAUCGUGCCAUACACUUCUCUUCCAUACCAAUUUUGGGUUUGUUCAUAGCUUGGAGUUUAAAGUUUGUUUCAUCUUCCAAGAGGUGAAGAAAUUGAAGGUACAAAUGAAGCGGCUAAAAAGCUGGGUACUAUUCAGGAAGGAGGGGCAGACGUUUAGCAGUCCCUUGGUAGUUUGGUCUUUUUGGUGAUGUCAUAUGUUUUUUUUUUAUGUUUUGAGAAUGGAUGCCAUAUGGGGAUGGUUAAUUGUGUUAACUUUUAGACAAGAUACCUUUAGGUACAAUAUAUAUUUUAUGAUAGGGUGAUGGUAAGAGUGUAACUUCUAUGAUGGGGUGAUAGAAACCCCCCAUACUUUAAGUUAGCUUUCUUUUGUAAGGACUGUAGGGACUGAGUCCCUUUUUGUUUAAAACUAGUUAUAUUGGAUGAAUGGAUGAUGGACUCUAAGAGUCCUUUAUAAGUGAAA